AUAUAUUUUAAAGGUAACUAAAAAUUGAAGAUUUAUAUUAUUAUCUUUUAAAAAGACUUAAUAACUAAAUGUUCGAAAGAUUAAUCCACAAACAAGAAAUUUAUCAAGUCAAAACAAAUAACAUAUUCAAUCUUCAGUAAUAACUAUUUCGUAUUAUUUCAUAAUAUUUCAUAAGAUUACGAAUUAAAAAAUAUUCCGCAAUCAUCCGAUUAGAUUCUUUUGAAAAAACAUUUCGAGGCGAGCAAUUAAAGCAGUAGGAAGAUAUCUCGUUCAUAGUCUCAAGAUUUAUCAAUGUUACUACUGUCCGUAUCGAUUAAAUACAAACUAAUUAUUCAAAAUAAAUUUGUAAAUUGUGUUGGUUGUUAUUAAUUUAACGAUAUCUUUAUCUUUUGCAUGAAAAUAUUUUUCGUUACGUCUCGUCUCGUUUAUAUAACAGAAAACGUUGCAAAACAUUUGAAAUCGUAUGGAAAUUAAUUAAAUUUAAGAAGCGAUCGUGUUGGGAAUUAUAACGUUGUAAUUUUGUUCGUUUAAUGUAUGGAGCACGUGAAGUGGUUACGCUCGAUCAGAUAUAGUAAUAGCGAGUUAAUUGAGACAGAUUGUGGCCAAGUUUCCUCAACUUAUCGAUAUUUCGUAACGUGGGAGAUUAAUUUCGAAAUUUUGUAUUACGAGUAAUCAGUUUUUAAAUAUGAUUAUUGAAAAAUUUCUGGAACUACGAUAUAAAUAUAACAUCUCUCUAGAAUCUCUCUAGAAUUACGUACGAUUCGGUGAAAUUAAAAAAAAAAAGAAAAAUCAAAUAUCUUUAUCAUAAAAUUUUCAAAUAAUUGGAAAUACAAAGUAAAUUGUAAGAAAAAUCUUAAUGAACCGAGUUAAGAAUUAAGAUUUUUCUCUGGAAAAUAAAUUCGAGUAAUCUAGGAUAAUCUAUUCUACGAGAAGAAGACACAAAAUUCCAAGUUUCAUUUUAACAAGGAAAAAAGAAAUAUUGUCUCAAGGAGUUAAGACCAAAAGGAAUCGGAUAAAGUACAAUGUCAAGCCUAAUUACGUCCUUUCUCGUAUUUACGGAAAUAAAAAAAAUAUCACCUCCUCAUCUCUCUUAACAAGAGAGUAAGAGUGAUUCGAUUCGCUCUGGGAUGCCAAAAUUCCGCUUUACGCGCGCGUUCCGCUUCGGUCCGCUCGCUGGCGUGUCGCCAAUCAUCUCGCGGCGUAUUUUAACAUAAAAAUGGCAUAACAUAAAACCGAAGAUUUAUAACGGCGAUGCAACCGAAUGUGUGUUUCUCGAGGCGUUCCAAGACCGCCUUCGGGUCGCCUUGCGAGAUCAGAGAUCGCCAAUAAAACUUUGAUCUACGGUUUGCACCUAUCACGGCCGCUUUCGUUCUCGCUCACCUGUCACUUCUCUCGAAAUGAAGGAAGGUUUCGCGAAGAACGCGAUGCAUUCCUGUUGAAAAUCUGCUGCCAAGAAGAAACUCGAGGAAUCGUAGUCAAAUUGCCAAUUCGAAUGAAAGUUUGAAUUAACUCUCUUAUAUUCCUAUGUCUGUCUAGGGACUUAAGGUAUGCGAGUUAAAAUUCGUUUUUUUUUUUUUUUUGAAAAUUGAUUUAUUAUUCUGAAGAGAAUUAAAUUCUCUUUAUAGAAAUUUUGAAUUAGAGAAGUCACAGGUUCGAUUCUCGUGCGAGUCUUUGUUGAAAAAGGGUUUCAUUGUUCGUCGACGAGAAUAAAACAUAGGAAUAAUAAAGAAUGAAUUAUUGAUGAGAUUUUAUAUCGCGAUCUGAUUACAAAAUUGCAGAUUUGUCUAAAAUUAUCGGUAAGUAUGAGAAGAAAUAGAUUUCGUAAUUAUAAAUUGGGAUGGAGGACAUGGAUAAGAUUAUGAUUGAAGAGCUGUAUGUUCGACUUAAAUCAGUUCUACCGAUAUCUAAUUUUAGAUUCUAUCUUUAACGGUGCUUCAUCUGAAAUAUAUAUCAAUAUUAUGUGGAAAUUAUUUAUUUUCAGACGGUUGAAUAUCACGAUACCGUCAUUUGUUAUUAAGAAUCGUGUAUUGAACAUGUCAAUUUAAUUGAUGAUCAUUUUAAUUCACAUCAAAUUAUACUUAUUACUAUUCAACUCAUCUUUUCUGUACAUAUACAGACGUGAUGAAACGCACGAUUUUUAAAUAUUAAAUUUAAUCAAAUGUUUUUAAUUAUAAAUUUUCUCUAUUGAUUGUAAAAAAAUAUCGAUAUCGAUAGUAUUUGAUAUUUAUUUGAAAAUUUUUCCUAUUCCUUCAACGUGGCCCAUUAGCUCAGUAGGUUAGAGCGUCGUGCUAAUAACGCGAAGGUCGUGGGUUCGAUCCCCCCAUGGGCCAAGUUUUUUUUUCGAUAUCGAAUAAUAAUUCUUGUACAUUAAAAAAACAUAUCUCGAUUCCUUUUUUUUUUAAAAAUACUAAUUAUCCUUCGCUUCCUUUUUGAGUCAAAAUUCGAUAAGAAACUUUGAAGAUGUACAUCUAAGCAGUACAUUCCCCAACAGAAAUUUAACUUCGAUUCCAAUCUAAUUUUUCUUCUGUACGAACAAACCAAUAUUCUUUUCUUUCCUUUAUAAAAAAAACAAUCCAAUGAAUAUAUAAUUUAUUCAAUUAAUGCAAUUUGAAUUUUUCUGUCAAACGAUAAAUAUAAAUUACAUCGUCUUGAAAGAAUCUACAAUAGUUUUGAUUCUACGAAACUAGAAAAAAAGAAUCUAUACAUCAAAUCUAAGAAAAAGAUUGGAAAAAUAAAAGAGAAACGUCGAUCCUGCCAGGAUUCGAACCUGGAAUCUUCUGAUCCGUAGUCAGACGCGUUAUCCGUUGCGCCACAGGACCUUGCGAUUCUGAGACUUGCAGUUUCUGAUUCUUGCCAAUUCCCUUGCGAAUAUUUCCUCCGGUUAAAUACGAAACAUUCUUUUUCGAAGUUUAACCCUGUUUAAACCUGUGAAUCAUAAAUACAAACGCGACAGAAUAAAAUAAACUUUUCAUCGUGGAGAAAAUUUAACGACUAAUCGUUAAAGCUUUACUACCAACUACGAACGUGAUCCUCCAUACGAAACGAUAUUUCGCAAGUUUUGAAUAUUGUUAUAUUAUUUCCAGUUUCGUCGUGAUUUCAUCUGCUGUCGUUUCGUUUCAUUACGUAAAUUGAAAAUUCGCAAAUUGUGUCGUGGAAGAUGAAUAGAAACGAAAUUCUGUUUGGACAAUUUUUUCUUCCAAUGUCGGUUUAAUUUUAGAAAUUGAUAUUAGUAUUAUGCAGUCGUGAUCAAAGUGUUUAAAUGAUGGAGGAUGAAUGAUUUUACGAAUAUAUUUCUUCUUCGAGAAAUUUUUGCAAAAUACAUCUAGUACGCCUCAUUAUUCACCAUAAUAUUAAUAUAUUGUUUUUAAUGAUAAAAUAUCAUUAAAAAACAAUUGCAAAACGUAUUUGCUCACAUGCUUCUCUAGAAAUCACAUCGACUUGUUCGAUCACCAGGUCCAUGCCAAUCAAAUUCAACCAAUAACCAAUAAUUAAACGCGCCAAUAAAUUAACAACUAAUAACGCGACAAUUAACGUCAACCAUUGUUAGCAUCCCCGCAUUGUUAUCUCAAAGAUCAAAUUCUAUACAGCGCUCUACAAAUCUCUCUCCGCAUACGUGCAUACACUCCAACCCUCUGCCUCGAAUCACCAACAUCCUCUUUAUUCCCGCGUGCACGUUAUAUCAAAAGCAUUGUGUGUCUCGUUAACCACGCUAAUGAUCAUUAAUCCACGCCCACGACGAACUCUCGGGAAGAAGCGUGAAGAAACAGGAUGAGGGAUUUAGAUUUUUUCCCAUCCACAAAUUUUCCCCUUUGUCGCAAGGAUCAUUCGAUUUGUGAAUCUGAUUUUCGAAAUCUCGGCGAUAUUUCACAGAGUGUAACAUUUUCUGAGUGUGAAGGAAAUGGGAAAGGGACAGAGUUUAAGCAUUCCAGAAAAGAAAGACUGAUUCUAUAGAAGCAAAUAGGAAGCCGGUGGUCGCGAAAGGGUUAACAAGGCCCGGUUCAUCGAUCUCUCGAAUCUCGAUGCGCCCUCCGUCGUCACGAAUUUCUCGCUCUCCUCGCCCGUUUUAAGAUCCACGACACGAAUAACACGUUCAACACGUGACCGGUCGCGGCUUCAUCGCUCACCGUGUCCUCGUCCGACCACGAAUCGACACGACGAGCCUUGUUUCUACUCGGCCUGGCGUCGAACGUGUCGCCUUUCUCAAUUAUAACGAGUUAUCUAAGAUUAUUCAAGUUAAUACGAUUUCUAAACUGUUGGUUAAACGUGUUUGGAUAAAAAAAGGAAAUAUAAUUUGCACUUUUUCCUGGAAUUAUAUAUAUAUAUAUUUUUUGGAUCAAUGCAGCUCGUUACUUUUGAAGAGGAGAAUAUUUUUCGUCGAUAGUUUAUUAGAAAAGAUUCGUACUCCUCUUUGAACCAUUCGAUCGAAUCUUUCUUCUUUGAGACGUCAUUAAUUCCACGAAUAUUUCAGCUUCCGGUCCUCACCGUGUAUAAUACGUCUAUGUACGUAUCUGGAUGUCGAAAGGGAGAGGAUGUUCGACGUCCGUGGGAACUUGAAUCGUAAAAGUUUAAUGGCGUUGCGAGAGCGAAGGCACGCGCAUGAAUCGAAAUCGAUACGCUGCAACCCCCCUCGACUUACCUUGAGUCCCGCCAAUCUUUCGCGCGACGCAGCUCUUUUCCCGAUCCCCUAAUUGGAUCUAAAAGUAAUCGAAGAGUGCAUCCUUCUUGUUCAAGUUUCUCAUUAGGAGAAUCCUGGAUAAUCGAAUUGGUGCAUUAACACGUUAAAUUCUUUCAGAAGGAGAACGAGACUUACUGUUCUUGAGGAAAUUUUAAAUGAUAGAAUUUGGACGCGUGCAAAAAUAUAAAAUAUGGACGAUAUAUCGGUGGAUAAGGAAAUUUAAUAGAAUAUUUCACAGGAGAUUUAAAUUUUGAGAAUAUUAAUAUAAUUUGCGAAGAUUCGAGAAAUCUCGAGACAUCUAUUUCUAAUGUUCACUUUAUUAAAAAUGUAAAAACAAUCGAAGAAAAUGAAAAGAUCGCGGUCCGAGAUAUAGCAAAAGAAGUUUAUGGAUUCUCGGAUUACUAAAUACGAGACGUGUUGGAAUACACCGACGUUGCAAUGGUAUUAUCCACGGCCAGAGCGUGUAAUAUUUAAGAAAACAAGGUAAAACUAGCCUUUCUGUAUUUUUAUGAACAAUUCAUGACUCUUUCCCAAAGGUUCCAUGACUUCGAGUAAUUGCAUAAAUAAUUGCGUACAGUAUCUCCGUUCGAGAUUCCACUGUUAUAUUAUUCCGUUCUUAAAAUACAACCAUCCUACUUCACAAUUCGCAAGUUUUCGAAAUAGCCAUCCUUACUUACAAUUUUUGAAAGAGAAUUGGAAAAUAUAAAUACAUCUCUCGUUUUCAAAUUAAGAAAUUCGAUCCUUCAUAUUUUAUCGUGAUUAAUGUCGCGAUAUUAUUUCGAUAAAUUGUAAAAUACGAAUUUUCAAUACGAAUAUUAUCUCAAGAAAAAGAAGAAGAAGAAAAAUUGUCGAAUCGGCAAAUGCGAAAUUGCAAAACAAGCUUGCCACCAAACUUUCCAAAGCAAAGAUUUGGAAAGUCGUUCGAUUUCAAAAGGAAGCACCCUCCACCGUUUUCAUCCCCCUAAAAGGAGAACGGCCACUUGGCGGAGCGUGCAAUUUUUUUCUUUCGAACUUCCGCUUUAAUUUCAGCCCGAAAGACUUGGCGGACAAAGUUUCGAGUAGGCGAAAAACGGGCAGAAAGUACGAGGAGGCCGGAAGAAAGGAAGGAAGGAAGGAAGGAAGGAAGGAAGGAAGAGGGGGGCCCAAGUUUCGUUUGAACGAUCUCUCUUACGGCGGAACCGGGGCGAAGUUAUUUGAGAAUCGGCUCGAGACUUCUUCAUUAUUGCGCUUUUAAUGAACUUUAAAAUAUAUUUCGCGAUCACGAUCCCCCAUUGGCGAGAAAAGGCCUAGAAAACAGAACGUGGAUUACGUUAAGUUCGGCGAAACUUUCGAAUCGUAUGGAGCAAAGUAAAUCGUAUAAUAUAAAAAAGGAAACUUAUAGAUCGAUCCAAUCUAAUAAUCGAUAUCUUUAUUAUACGAAAUAUAAUUAUAUUUGAGAAAUCAAAAUUGAUAUCGUCGAAAGCAUCAACGAUGUAUCCAAUUUAAUAAUAUUUCCAUAGAGACACGCGGAAAUAGGGACACACGUAACGAUAACAACACUAGUUACGUGGCACGCGUAUUAAGAGAUUCCACGGUAUGAGUGUGUCAAUAAACAAACCGAGUUGCCGCUGCGCAAAUAGGUCUGAUUCGGCCGAAUCAGACGAGCAUUCGUCUUCCAAGUGUCAUCGAAGCCCGAUGCCACGCUCGACUUGGCCGUUGUUUGCGUUGAUUCUUCGCGCCACUCGUGCCUCUCCUCCAUAAUUUACCAUGGCAGAGAAAAUUCAAAAAUUGAUUGAAAUUCGAUUCGCGAAUCCACGGAGCAGUGCCUACUUAGACGGGAGGAAGGAAGGAGGAAGGUAGUGGCGGUGAAAUUGGAAGUGAAAAUCGCGUUUUUCCAAGUUUUAAAAGUGGUUUGGAAAGUGUAGAGAUGAUUCUUCAAUCGGGAAAUCUGCAAUCUAAAUCUCGUAUUAAUUCAUAAUUUUUUAUUCAAUAUAAUUAUUCGAAUAUAAUUAUUAUUUUCAUAAUUUGUGGAAUUCAAAAUUUACAGUUCAUCGUAACGAUUUAAAUUUAACUUGAUUAUCGAUAUAAUUAAAACUUCUUUUUUCUAUCGUAAAUCCACAACUUGUGAAACGCAUUACCCCUUUAUAUUCGCGUCUAUUUUCUAUUAUUAACCGUGCUUUCAUCCCUCUCCUUCGUCUCGUCCUCGAGCUUCACUUUUCCAUCCAGUUUCCCCCGCAAGAAGGAGAUUUUCUUUUCGAGAUCCGCCAUUAUCGCUCGGUUUAACGUCAAUAUUUACCAGCUUCCAGGAUCCCUAUUUCCCUGUGUCCCGCAUCGAAUCCCGCCUCUCCCCCCACACUCCUUGUGUAGAUCGCGAUAGAAGAGCCAUCCAGCUCUCAAUUUUCCGCGUUACAACCGUACUUACGGAUCAUGUAAAUGAUACUCUCUCUUCUCGCAUCGCCGGCGGCCCUUCCGCCUUGGGAAUUCGCUCCAACCUCCAACCUCCAGUUGGCCGAAUGGCCUGUGGAAUAUCGAUGAGUCACGGACGAAGCCAGAUCGAUCGAUCGAUCUUUCGAUACUGUCAUCCAGAGGAGUCGAGAUUAUCGAGACGUGAAAUUUUUGAAACUUAUUCGCGGGGUAAGUUGACGAUCGUCGACGGAAAGUCUGAAAAUAUUUUGGAAUAAUUUUUUCUUUAUUUUUAUUUCAGUUACGGUUUGUUGAUAAUAAUUCAAUCGAUCGGCGAUGCGAAGUUUUCAAAAAAUUAAAUAUUCCGCACUUGGUACGAUGUAUCAAGAGGAUGGAGAAUAUUUUCUCCAUAUUUCUCUAACAUUUCGAGUGAUAAAUUAUCAGAAGAAUUUCACUCGGGUUCGAUAAACCCCUGGCCUUAAUUCUGUUUUUCUGUUGCGACAGCAUUUCGCGGAGAAGCGAAAAAUCGAUUCCACCGGUCGAUCGUCGGAAACCAUAAAGAUAUCAUCCCCGGAGCGUGGAAGUUUCGUUUGGAGGGCUUCCGGCAACUAUACUGCACACGGUUAAGUUACGUACAUACGUGGGGCUUUCGGGUAAUAUUCGAAAAGUGCAGCUGGUGCAUCGUUUUUGUUCGCGCGACAGCCACGCCUCCGUCCUUUGGAAUUUCUUUUGUACCGUAACAACGUCUGUACAGCUUGGCAUUUAAAUUUCGGAUCACGUGAAAAUUGAAAUUUAUCGCUUCGAUGCCAAGGUUCGGUUAAAAAAAAUGCUCUAAAAAUUUUUACUUUAUCCCGGAAGAUUCCCGGAAUUCGGCUACGUUUGCGUGAAAAUAUAUCUGUGAGAAGAUAUCCAUGGAAGAGAUAUCGAAAUAGGAAUAUUCUUAUAAAACGAAAUUUCUAUUCUCGAACAAUUCAUCUGCCUUAUUCUGAUGCUCUGAAAGAAACGAAGACUCGCUUUCCACAGCUUUCGAGUCGAGCGAAAGUGUUGAUCUCACGCUUCGAGAUAUCAAAGGCGCGGUCCAGUCCUCGUAUCCCUUGAUUUUACGCACACAUGCGCCCUCGAAAAAAAUUUCUAACGUCCACCCCGUCCCCGUGUCCCCGAAGAUCCAGCAGCGGGGCUGGAAUAAAUCCACGAAGGAGGUGGUCCGUUCCGUGGUUUACCGCGGCCGAGAAUUUAUGAAGUCGAUCCUUUAGGCGUGUGCCUCCCGUCUGGGAAUUUGUCAGGGGACGAUCGAAGCGGAGGAAGCGCGCGAGGAAGCGAGAGAAAGAGGAAGAAAGAAAGGGAAAAAGGGGGAGGCGGAAAGAGAGAGAGGGAUAUGGGAGGUUAUCGAGGAUGGAAGGAUUCAACGUGGCCAACGUUUAUAAAUAUCGCCAUUGUACGGGCGCCAAGGGCUGUAUUUUUCAUUCCUUAUUUGUUGUCGCGGGUCCCGGCUUCGGUAUACGCACGAUCGUACAUUUUAGAGGCGCGAUUUGCGACCGGUUGGCUUCUAUCGGGCGAGAGGAGGGGGAGGAUGAGACCGGUGGGCCCGUUUGACCUCUGAAACGAUCCCACGACACGGGGAACAUCUCGUUUCGAUGCACGCGUUCGGUGUCGCGUGAAACGAAUCGACAGAGACACCGGGAAACCGUAACGAGACCGCUCUUGUAUGGAUUGCAUACCUGAGCCGCGAACCUGUUGCCUCUUUGGAUUUUUCGUCGAGGUUUUUUCAAUCGUGGGACACCUUUUUGGAUCAAUCGUGGGAUAACGGUAAAGUGGGAAGGAAGGAUGAAAGGCGAAAUAAUUAUUCUUUUAUCAACGAAAUUGUUGAAGAAGAAAUUCGUAAUUUCGCGAGAUAAUUAUUAAUAAUUGUAUUAGUGGAUAUAUUACUUAAAAAUAACCGUUUUAAAAUAAUCACUUCCAUAUUUUUCCGAUUUAAUUCUAAAAUUAAUUGUCAUAACGAGUUCAUCAAAAUCCAACAAACUCAUCAAAACUAAAUUCGAAAAUUACUCGUUCAAUCUACGAAUUCUGAUUAAUUCGAACGCUUUAUCUAACGAACCACGAAAAAUAUUCGUUUCCUCUUUCUAUAAAAAAAAGAAAGAGACAUUUUCGAAAUUUUCACGAGAAUUAAUUCGUCCUCGUUUACACGAAAUUCCAUUUCGUUCACGAUCGUUUCAUUUUCCCUGUUUUCGAAAUAAAACAUGGACGGUCACCGCGCUAUCGAUAUUUAUUAGUCGCGUGUAUCCUAUUAUCGACGACAGAAGGGGACGAAGCUAGGGAUAAAUUUGUUUAAUGUGACGUUAGCCGCGACACGAGCACUGCAGACGUUGACGAUUUCACGUUGCUGGACGGUUUCUGGACGUUUCUGGAUCGAUCGUUGAUUUCCGGAAAAUUUAAUAACCAAUGGGAAAUGGGCGAAAAUUUGACGGGAAAAAAUGCCGGAUCGAGAAAAUUGCGAAGAAUAAUUUGUUUUUUUAUCGACGAAAUUAUUGACACUUUCGACGACAGAUUUGUAAAAUUCGUUCACGGGAAUUUCGAGUUGUUAAAUUGUGCGUGCAAUUGAUGGCAGUAAUUAGAAAAAAAAAAGAAUAAAAAUAGCAAUAAUGAAUAGAUUAUAAUAAAAUUUUAGCAACAAAUAUUGUUAACAAAAUAAUUUUAAUGUACGAAAUACGACUCUUUUAAAAGCCAGAUCUCUCUAAUUAUACAUUUAAAAUUUUAUUCACGAAAAUGGAAUAGCUACACGAUAUUUUAUUUCAAAAUUUUUUCGUUAAUUAAGAAAAAUGUUAAGGCUCGGUUACAUAUUUAUGGUGCUUAUUAUUCUUUUUGCAUGCUACAGUUGCACGUGAAGAAAUUAUUUUCGAAUGAAGAAAGAUAUUUUAUUCCUCGCUCAUUUCACCAUUCGAAAAUUAUCGAGUAGUCCAUUCAUUUCGAAUUAAAAGAUUUCUUUUUUUUUUUUUUUGUUCUUGCAAUAAAAUUGUUUCGUCUCCGGUUUUUUUUCGCUAUAAUGGCUUCAUGUUCCCGUUUAUGCGAAUUCUUGCCACAGUCUCUUGGGGAUAAAGUGAGUCACGCCCGUGAAUCAUCAGAAUGGCUCCGUGUUCGCCGCGACCCUAACUGACCGCGAAAUAUAAGCUUUUUGUAGAGUCUGAAAAAUGAGGACGCAAACUAGAAUUAAUAUCCACGGUUAUAAAAUUCUAAAGGGAUAAAAAAAUUCGAAACGAGAAUCCAAAAAACGGAAACAAUCGAUAUUUUGAUCUAAUUUCAAUCAAACGUGGCGAUGAAUUCGUUGAAAAGAUAAUGAUCUACAACAAAAUUCAAAAAAUUCAAAAAUACACCCAAGACAAAAAGAUAGAACAACUUUCGAGAUUUUCAAUCAUCGCCAUUGAAUUGCAUUUGCGCAAAAUUUGAGCGACGAAUGUCGAACGUGUUUAAAAAAAACUUUGCAAAAUAUCCAAAAGAAAGAAAGAAAGAAAGAAACGCGGGACUCGCGAAGACUCUCGCCCCAUUAAAAUCCUCGUCAAUAUUUAUACAACUUCCUCCUUCGUAAUUUCACCGUCUCCUCCACCAUUGGCCACGAUGUCCGCUCGAAAGAACGUCUAAUGACCGAUCCGUGCACCGUGGCCGAUCACACGUGAAAUAUCGUCGCCAAUAAAGGUCCCGGUUAUUAUUUAUGGCGGUCGAACGAAUCCUCGGGACGCAAGCUGCGCGACACUGCGGUUAAUGUCGGUUCUCCGUGUCGCGCGACAGAAUUAAAAUGGCCGCGUGCGGCGUGCACAAUCGUUUUUUAACCCGUGCAGCUGAUCCACCGUGGCCGUUCAAUUCAGUUUACAUUGGGGGCGACGCGAAUAAUACGCGAUGCAAAUCGAAACUCGAGGGAGGAGGGGGGAGAGAGGAAGGGUUGCUCCAUACACCUUGCGUUCCUCGAUCGUCCUCCCGAUCGGUAAUGCAAGAACCGAAUCGUCCACCCGAAAUCGCGUGAUCCGAUUGCGUGAAAUUUGAUUUUAACGCUAGAAAUAUACCGACCCAUUAUGUGUACCUUAACGCGGCCUAUUUUCUCUCUCUUUCUCUUGUUUUCUUCUUUUUUUUUUUUUAAGUAAAUGUAUAAAUGCGUUUUGUAAUUUUGUAUCGCGUACAAGAGCUUUUGAAUGUAAUUUCUUCUGUUCGUCGUGUUGGAUAAUUAUUUCAUUUACGAUUGGUAAGAGGAUAGAGUUGAAAUUGGGGACACGUUUAAAUAUUAAUUUGCGAUUUUUCGAGUCUGCGUUUUCUUUUCGUCGCAAGGAUUCGUCGAAGAUAUUUCCGAAUGCUCUUCUUUUAUUCCCAAGUUAAUACGAUGCUUUGCACUUCAAUCGAUUUCUCGUACGUUCCAAGCAAUUUUGUUGUGAUAUUCAAGGAUUCUCAAGUGAAAUGUGCAGGGGUAAAAUACAAAAUUUCUAUCCGAAUAAAUCAUGACCGUUUCAUCAAUUAUUCAAUUAAUCGUGAAUUAAAUUUAUCCCAUGAAUUUCACAGCGCUCGAAAACGAUUAUUUCCAUAAUUGUUCGUUCGAUUAUCGUUUGGUUAUAAUUAUUAUGGUUAUUAUUGUCCAUCCUCGCGUUUUUACCCCUCCCCUCCCCCUUCCCUUUUCUCACACGUGUAAAUCGUUGGCCUAUUAUUUUAACGUGCUAGUAUUUCGAGAUAAUAAUUCAGGGGCUUCACCGAGCUCCGUGGAAAUCUUCUGCAAAGCUCCUUAAUUAAUUUCGAAAGUAACUUCGUUAAAAUGUAAUGAACACCGAUCACGUUAAAUACCGCGCGAAUGAAUGUUCGCCUAAUCGGAAGUAUUUAUCAUCGGAGGAAAACAGUUUGUGCCCGAAACGAGCACCAAAUAAUGGAAAUAAUUAAUCAAUCGACCGAACACUCUGCAUCGAUUCGCACGUGCUUUUAAUUCGUCGCCGGAACGAAACGAUAUUUCUCGAUUUCUCCGUUUCUCAUCGAAUCCGUUUCUUGGAUUUCCUGGAUCGAGUUGUUGUAUUACGCUUAUUUGAAAAGCAAACUUUUUACCGAUCGAAAUUAAUAUCUUUUUUUUUAUGUUACUUAUAAAUUCAAACUGCCAUUACUUUGAGCUGCGAGAAAGAUUUAAACAAGCAGCACUUUCCUGAAAGAAAAAUCUAAAAUUAUACAAAUUUUCAUAGUUGCAUGCAAAUUUUUACGACUUCAAAAGUCGUAAAUGUUUUUUUUUAGAAAUUUCAACUCUUCGACAAAUAUUUUACGACCUGUUAUUAACAUUUCAAUCGCUCGACCCCAUUCCCAGACUCGACAACAAUCCUAAAACGGAAAAAAAAGAAAACAGAAAA